rnacentral:rRNA from 1 species
GAUGAACGCUGGCGGCGUGCCUAAUACAUGCAAGUCGAGCGAACGGACGAGAAGCUUGCUUCUCUGAUGUUAGCGGCGGACGGGUGAGUAACACGUGGAUAACCUACCUAUAAGACUGGGAUAACUUCGGGAAACCGGAGCUAAUACCGGAUAAUAUUUUGAACCGCAUGGUUCAAAAGUGAAAGGCGGUCUUGCUGUCACUUAUAUAUGGAUCCGCGCUGCAUUAGCUAGUUGGUAAGGUAACGGCUUACAAAGGCAACGAUGCAUAGCCGACCUGAGAGAGUGACCGGCCACGCUGGAACUGAGACACGGUCCAGACUCCUACGGGAGGAAGCAGUAGGGAAUCUUCCGCAAUGGGAGAAAGCAUGACGGAGCAACGCCGCGUGAGUGAUGAAGGUCUUCGGAUCGUAAAACUCUGUUAUUAGGGAAGAACAUAUGUGUAAGUAACUGUGCACAUCUUGACGGUACCUAAUCAGAAAGCCACGGCUAACUACGUG